CCAACAAGGCAGCAACAACUGAGAAACACAAAGAGUCCAUGACCCGGGCAUUUUCCCAAAUCAACUAUCAAAACCCUAGAAGACAGCUGCCCGUGGGUCGCGACACUCGCCAUUUAUAUCCAUCCGGGUUGGGGUACAUUCCUCGGACCCAUUCUUCCUUCAGUUUCAGCAGUGGCUUCCAUAACGAAUCUAGGGUGUGGAGCUGAAAAAGGAAAUGGAGACAAUGGGGUUUGUAGUUUCAAAGAAGAGUAAAGGGACAUGGAGAUAUUCGUUCACAGUUGCUAAUGACCUUAAGCAAUAAAUAGAUUUGUCUUGUAUUAAAGAAAAUGUUGUGGUCUUAGCAAUUGGUUAGGAAAACAAAUUCUAAUGGUUCAAAUUCUACAGGUGAUUCAACAUUUUCAAGUGUCCAUUUGAACAAUUAGAAUUAGUUUUCGGAUCACUUGCAAAGGCCACAGGAUUCACUUUAAUGCAAGAUGAAUCCUUGUGUUGGUUUAGGACGACAAUGCUUCUUGCAUCUGAUGGCAUGCAAUUUCAGAGAAGAUGAGGUGGUUCUAAGUAGUAUUUUCCAUUUAUUCGCUAUGAGUCCUCAAAUAUUCAAGGUGUUAUCUAUCCUGAGUGGUGGUAGUGGUUUGCAAGGUUUGAAGCAUGUUAUUGCAUUGUCAAAUGUAAAGGAUCAUAUUGGUCUUUCAUUUUGGUACAUAAAUGCCUCUUCAAUUGCUAUAUGUGUUUGUUUGUGUGUGUGUACAUACGUAAUGUAUAUAUGUAUGUGUGAGUGUCUUUUUAUGUUUAAAAUAUUAUAUAUCUUUAUAAUGGGAAAUGUAAGCCGUCUGCAACUGAAGAUACGAGGAGUGAAAAGUGAAUGUAGAUUAUUUCAGCAGAUAAGAUUACAUUGUUAUCUUCUGACUGAUACUCUUUUACCUCUUGUUUCAUGUCAUUUCUUGUCUCUCUCUGUUUUUGAUUUGAUAACCAUUAUUCUCUUUUCAUGGCAUUUAUUCAAUAAAUUGGUAAUUGUUGUUUCUUGAUAUACUGUAAUAGCUGAUUAGAUGCUCAUUUGGCCUUUUCUCAGGCUCUUGUUCUGGUGAACAAAUAAGAAUCGCUAAAUACACUAGUGUGUUUUUGAUAAAGGAAAUAGACUAGUGUUAAGCUACAAGGAGAUUACACAGGCAAAUAUGGACUCCUUAGUUUCCUGUUUGAGCAAUAUGCAAAAUUGGAGGUUAAUAGAGGUCAAAAGAAGUUAUCUGAUUCAGCUCUGUCCAGAAAAUUCUAGAGAAUAUAUAGUCAGGGGUCGCUUGGUUGGCCACAUAAAAAAGUAUCAUCGCACACAAAAUUCUGCAUGUCUAAUAUACUAUGUUUGGUUUGCAACAUAAAACUCUGUAUUGCUCAUUUAAUUUCCGGUGUAAAACUAUGCAUAACAAAUACUCCCUCCGUCCAAUUUAAGUGUCUUAGUUUGACUGAGCACAGAGUUUAAGAAACAAAGGGGAAUUUUUGAAUCUUGUGGUCUUAAAUUAAAGAUGUGUGUAGUCUUUUAAAUUUUUUGGGCUUAAACUUGCCAUGUAGAAUGUUGAAAUUGGAAAACUUACUAAAUAUAGAAAGGCUGGGACAGAUCAAGAAGGAAAGUGAAAGCAUGUUUUGAUUAACUUAUUUUAAGUGUUUUAAGCACUUUUGUAGUGUUUGGGUAAGAUAAAGAAGUGCUUUUAAGCACUUGUUUUUAAGCCUAAAACUAUAAAUUCAUCCAAACAGUCUCUAAGACACUUAAAAAUUGGAAUGGAGGGAGUACUUCUUUUGUUGUGGUACUAAACAAUGUAUUGCUAAUACCAACAUAAUUUAUGUGUGAUUCAGUGUAUUAUCUUAUACGGGAUAGGAUAUGGAACAAAAAUAGUAAUUAGCGAUACUUGGAUAAGAGUUCUAGAAGCAUAAAUAUUGCUUUUAAAGUACACAAUUAUUCAGCUCAUAGCAAUCCCUAUGUUUAUAUUCAUUGUAUAACAUGCCUUUAUCAUGAUCCCUGCAUGAACUAGUCUGCAAACCAAAUGGCCCUUCAAGGUAUGAAUUGUGUGUGCCUAUUUCCUAUACAAAGACCUUGAGGACAUGCAACAAGUGGGCAGUAAGGCUGGCGUGUCUCUUGGUCAGAUGUCUCUCCAACUCUUUUCAACCAAGUAUUAUAAUAUCAUGUUAGGAAUAACUCUUUUCUUGAGAAUUGCUAUGUAUGCCAAAUAUACCUGUCAAUUUUUUUGAUCACAGCAGCGGUAGAUCACAUGUCAUAAAAAAAGAUAUGCCAGUAAUGGGAAAUACCUUACUUAUUCCUAAAGAUAAUUUCUUCAAAAAGAUUGUGGUCUGAUUUUGUUAUGGUCUUUAUCUAUCUCUAUCACAAACCAAGUGCAAUGACUGCCUACUCUUUUAGGAGAUAUCGGCAUAUCGCAUUGUCAACCCGGUUGUACUCUUUGGUUGUUCUGUCCUGUCUGAUCCAAUUGAUGGUGAUUUUUGACCCCUCAGUGGUCGUAUUAUUUGCAUUAGGGUGUAAAAAGUACCCUACAACAACAACAUACCCAGUGAAGUCCCACAAGUGGGGUUGGGGAGGGUAGAGUGUACGCAGACUUUACCACUACCUCAUGGAGAUAGAGAGGCUAUUUCUGAGGUGUAAAAAGGUACCCUAUUGAUCUAUUUUCUUGUGAAUUUGUAUUUCUGAUGUUUGGCCACUUUUACGAUAAUGGUAGCUGGUAGGUUCCAUUCAUUACUAUUGUAAUCCUCAAUGACUAGCGACUUAGCUUGUGCAGUUACAUUCAUUAAGCACUUGUAUGAGAGAGAAAUUAAUUCAACCACAAUCAAUAUAGGAUGCUGCUAUAAUCUGUCAAUCUUAAACAAGGAUUGGGAGAAUCGCCUUUCUAGAGAUCACACAUUUUAUAUUGUGAUUUUGGUAUCAAAAGUAGUAAAAGAAAGAUGUAGAUUUUGAAUGUAGAAAUGGUAGUUUAUUAAUUGAGCAAUGUAUAUGCAGUUAUAAAGAAGGGAGGUAUGAUAGAAUUUGCAUGCGAUUUCUUCCCACAUCGUCUCAAAAGCAAAAAAUAAUUCUCUUGUUAAUCUAUUUAGCGGUCUCUAAUUAUGAACUUCAAUACAUAGCUAUUGGCGGGCCCGCCUAAGUGCGGGCCCUUGAUGGCUCACAUGACCUUGUAGGAAGGUCCUUCCAAUGAGUUGCAGUAUGCUGCAAAUCUUGUCCGUGCAUGUGCUGGCACAUAGGGAUCCAGGUCUAGCUGUGUAACUUUCUUCAUUGUGUCUGGCAUCAUCCACUGUAUUCCGAACCAAUUUCGCACUCUCACCAUAGCUGUGUUGCCACUUUUGCAAUGUAACAGGAAGUAGUCCACACUAUCAACUGUGCAUUUUGCUCAUGAAGCACCAGGCGACAGCUGACAUAUGUGAUCCUUUGCGUUCUCAUGUUCUCGGCUGUCAACAUUGGACCCGAGUUACAGACCAAGCUAAUAAACACCCCUUUCUUGGUGCCUAAGGAAGUAGUCCGCAUUCUCAACAGUGCAUCUGCACAUGAAGCACUAGGUGACAGCUGACGUAUGUGAUUCUUCACGUUCUCAUGUUCUCGGCUAGCAGCACGGGCCCAUCUGCAACGCAACCUAAUUAACUCACCCUCUCGGUGCUCAAGGCCUAGUUGUGUAACAUUCUUCAUUGUGCCUGGCAUCAUACACAGCAUUCUGAACCAAUUCAGCACUCUCAUCACAGUUGUGUUGCAACUUUGCAAUGUACAGGAAUUAGCCCACAUUUUCAACUGUAUAUUUGCACAUGAAACACCAGGUGACAGCUGACAUAUGUGAUCUUUUGGCGUUCUCAUGUUCUCAUGUUCUCGGCUGUUAGCACUGGACCCGAGCUGCAGACCAAGCUAAUAAACACACCUUUCUUGGUGCCCAAGGAAGUAGUCCGCAUUCUCAACUGUGCAUUUGCACAUGAAGCACUAGGUGACAGCUGGCAUAUGUGAUUUUUCACGUUCUCAUGUUCUCGGCUGUCAGCACUGGCCCACCUGCAACGCAACCUGAUUAACACACCCUUCUCGGUGCUCAAGGAAGUAGUCCACACUAUCAACUGUGCAUUUGCACAUGAAGCACCAGGCGACAGCUGACAUCUGUGAUCCUUUGCUUUCUCAUGUUCUCGGCUGUUAGCAUUGGACCCGAGUUACAGACCAAGCUAAUAAACACACCUUUCUUGGUGCCCAAGUGUAACAGGAAGUAGUCUACAUUCUCAACUGUGCAUUUGCACAUGAAGCUCCAAGUGGCAAUUGACAUAUGUGAUCCUUGGGCGUUCUCAUUUUCUCGGCUGUAAACACUGGACACGAGCUGCUACCCAAGCUGAUAAUUACACCUUUCUUGGUGCUCAGUUGGAUCAUAUAACUCGUGGCAUAAAUGAGCGGACUUAUUCCUGGAGCCUGGUCAGUAAUACUGGAUGUCCCUGAUACCAUCAGCCACAUAAAACCUUGAUCAGUACCCAGUAUUAGGCUGGAUGGGCAAUUAUCCAGGCUGCGGUGCAAACUUUCUGGAAGCAAGAUUCCAAUGGAUGGACUUACUGAUAGUCCAGCAGUUCGAGAAGCUAUAUAAAUUAAGAUGACAGAUAUACUUUGGAUCAGAUUUUUUUCGUAUUUGGAUAUUGCAGUAAGAAUUAAAUUGGAGUAAUGGCUCGUUAUGCGUGCAUACUCUAUGGUUCUUUUUCUGGUGUGGCAUAUCUGUUGAAGUUAUCUUAUGAUAAAGUCCAAUUUGAUUGAAAACCUGGGAUUGGCGGAGUCUCCUAUCAA